CAUGUCUGUGAGGACAUUGGCAGAAUUGAACCAGCAUGUGGGCCAACAAUGGGGGGAUAUGAAGGAUUGAGGAUCCACCCUGAGUGUGAGCAACACCAACCAGUAGGCUGAGUUACCACAGAGACCAAAAACUGGAAAGUGAAAAGCCAGCAGGCAAGAAAGGCCUGCCAGAUGCUAGUGACAUCCUCGCAGAAGCCAUGCUGUCACCCCUGAGAACGGUGUAUAAAUGGAGCUCCUUAAGGCCAGGCCCUUUGCAGAAUCCCAUCUACCUGGAAGGACCUGUGGAAGCGAUGCUGUAGACCCCUGCGCUGAUCCUGCGGAGCUCAUGGGCUUCAGGCCUCCUUAAUGUUCACUGUGCUAAUUCUUAGAGUAAUUCUUAAUUUCAGCUGUGAUUGUGGCUGAGUUUACUUGCAACAAAAGCUGAUAAUUUUUCUAAGAGUCUCUACAAAGAAAUUAAGCCUCUCCACAGUCAUUCACAGAAACCAGUUUCUCUGCUCACCCCUGGCUGCCUUUGCAGUCAUCUUGAGUAAUCAGGAAGAACUCACUAAGGUUAAUCUCACUAAGGUUAAUGAUUCUUGCUUACAUAACUAUCCUUAAAAAAAAAAAAAAAGACUUAAGAACUUGGGAGACUGUUUCUUAAAAAGAUGACAUUAAAAACUUAUAGGAACUUAUAUGGAAAAGAUAAAGGACAUGAAAGGUCAGACAUCUCUCUGGCGCCAGGGCAUGAAUGGUUAGAUAGUUUUUCAGUUAAAACUCCCAGUUCCCUGGGAAGUAAAAUUACACGUAGAAACUGCCAGAAGAAUUGAAAUUUGGUCCCAACAGUUAAAGAGUUAGGUAAUCAUUACCAUUUUGAGAAUUUAUAAAGAAUAGGACUACAACUGUUGUCAAUGUAGUAGUGAUACACAGAUUAUUUAGAAAUUGAUUUAUACCUGAAAGUGAUAUCCUAGGUAUGGCAUCAUACACUCAGCUGAUUACAAAAAUACAAAAGUAUCACAUUGUUAAGGAUUAAUCAUAGGACUGGAAUCUGUUUUGUUUUGUAACUACAUGUUUGCUUGCUGCCAUCUAGGACACAGUAUGAAUAAGAUGUGCCUGACUAGAUAUAAUCAUUUGGCUUGCAAUAUAAAAAUUAACGAUCCAGGGUAAAGGUCAAUGAUGUCAAGGGAGUGGGGAAUCAGAAAAAGGAACUAAAAUGGGUGAAUAUUAAUGAUUCCUGGAAAAUGCUUAGGAAGAAAUGUAUUGCACCUGCUCAUGCUUGAAUGCAUUAGAACUUGAAUAAAUAUAAAUGGCUUGAGUUAUUCGACACCAUCUGUUUGAAAGACAA